AUCUUUCCAGUUCAUGAGUGUGAUGACUGGUGCGUUCACGGACACUCCGUGAAAGGCACAACCGCUCUUGUUACGCUUGCUGCCUCAGACCGUCUGAUC